rnacentral:rRNA from 1 species
CAUACCUAUUCGAAGGGAUAGGGUCGGUUCGGCCGGGUUUCACACAGGUGUUGCAUGGCUGUCGUCAGCUCGUGUCGUGAGAUGUUGGCUUAAGUCCCGCAACGAGCGCAACCCUCAUCCUUAGUUACCAUCAGGUAAUACUGGGGACUUUAGGGAAACUGCCAGUGAUAAACUGGAGGAAGGUGGGGAUGAUGUCAAGUCAUCAUGGCCCUUAUGGACUGGGCUACGCACAUGCUACAAUGGUGGCUACAAUGGGCUGCAAAGUCGCGAGGCUAAGCUAAUCCCUUAAAAGCCAUCUCAGUUCCGAUUGUACUCUGCAACUCGAGUGCGUGAAGUUGGAAUCGCUAGUAAUCGUGGAUCAGCACGCCACGGUGAAUACGUUUUCGGGUCUUGUACACACUGCCCGUCACGCCAUGGGAAUUGGUUUCACUCGAAGCU